GACGAAUGCUGGCGGCGUGCUUAACACAUGCAAGUCGAACGGUGAAGGGGAGCUUGCUCCCUGGACCAGUGGCGAACGGGUGAGUAACACGUGGGCAACCUGCCCCUCACUUCGGGAUAACCAUCCGAAAGGAUGGCUAAUACCGGAUACGAGGCCUGGAGGCAUCUCCGGGCUUGGAAAGUUUUUCGGUGAGGGAUGGGCCCGCGGCCUAUCAGCUUGUUGUUGAGGUAAUGGCUCACCAAGGCGAAGACGGGUAGCCGGCCGGAGAGGGCGGCCGGCCACACUAGGACUGAGGCACCGCCCAGACUCCUAGGGGAGGCAGCAGGGGGGAAUAUUGCACAAUGGGCGAAAGCCUGAUGCAGCGACGCCGCGUGAGGGAUGAAGGCCUUCGGGUUGUAAACCUCUUUCAGUAGGGACGAAGCGCAAGUGACGGUACCUAAAGAAGAAGCACCGGCUAACUACGUGCCAGCAGCCGCAGUAA
rnacentral:rRNA from 1 species